GACGCGCUGUGCGAUCCAACUUUAUGGAACAACCCGAGCAAGCAAGGAUUACUCGUAAAACAAGGACACAUCAUUAAAAAUUGGAAAGAACGUUGGUUCGUUCUCCAAGGCAAAUAUCUUUUCUACUUUAAAUGCCAAGGCGCCGAGAAACCAAUCAGCGUUAUAAACCU
rnacentral:sRNA from 1 species